GAUACCUACGGGACGCAGCAGUCGGGAAUAUUGCGCAAUGGAGGAAACUCUGACGCAGUGACGCCGCGUGCAGGAAGAAGGUUUUCGGAUUGUAAACUGCUUUAGAUAGGGAAGAAAAAAAUGACAGUACCUAUAGAAUAAGCUCCGGCUAACUACGUGCCAGCAGCCGCGGUAAUACGUAGGGGGCAAGCGUUAUCCGGAUUUACUGGGUGUAAAGGGAGCGCAGGCGGUAUGGCAAGUCAGAUGUGAAAACCCAGGGCUCAACCCUGGGACUGCAUUUGAAACUGCCAUACUGGAGUGCCGGG
rnacentral:rRNA from 1 species